rnacentral:rRNA from 1 species
AUACGGAGGGUGCAAGCGUUACUCGGAAUCACUGGGCGUAAAGCGCGCGCAGGCGGCUAUUUAAGUUGGAUGUGAAAGCCUACGGCUCAACCGUAGAACUGCAUCCAAAACUAUUUAGCUAGAGUGUGGGAGAGGAAGAUGGAAUUAGUUGGGUAGGGGUAAAAUCCGUAGAGAUAACUAGGAAUACCAAAAGCGAAGGCAAUCUUCUGGAACACUACUGACGCUGAGGCGCGAAAGCGUGGGGAGCAAACGGGAUUAGAAACCCUAGUAGUCC